AGAACCAAGACCCCCUUGACUUCUCUUGUCUCACCAAAAGAACUAGAAGGAACUAGAAAGCUCAAGCUCUUUCCCUCUUAUACCCACAAGUCCAGCAGCAAGGGGGUUAAUUUCUUCAAGUUUUCUCACUUUGUUGCUCUUAAAGACUAAAGCUAAAGUUAUUCUUGCUCUAUCACUCCAAGAACAUGUGCCUAGGGAGCAUGAGAGCAUAGGAAAGGUCGAUACACUACUUGAGACUCUUGGUACUCAGCUGCUAAUCGAGGUAAAGGACAUGCCAUGAAAAUUAAUAGUUCAUGUUUUUAGUAUAGUAUAUGUAUGUAUGUUUUAUCAAUGCGUUUACUAAACUCAAAAUUGAUACUCUUUUACAAAAGAAUACUAUGCUCAAAAAUAGACUUAGCAAGAUUUCAAUUAUGACAGAUUUAGAAAUCAGUUGUGGAUAUGCUAUGAACUUUAAGCCUAGUAAGGCAAGAGAGAGAUUUAAAGAUAAAGGCAUGAUUUAUUUUAGAAACAAAGAACAAUGUUUUGAGUGUAAUGGCCUUGAAGAUUGACACCACAAUGCCACGAGGGGAUAGUGAUCCUUGAAGACUGGAAACCUUAGGCCUCGAGGGGUUUUAUUCCCUGAAGACCGACAACAUUUUAGGCCACUAGGGCUGUAUUCCCUAAAGACAUGGCAACCUAGGCCACGAGGGGAUUGACAGAUCUUUAAAGAGUGGGAAGCAGUGGUGCCACAAGAGGAUCUUCAGAUCUUUGAAGAUUGGCAACCAUUAGUGCCACGAGAGGAUCUUCGAAUCUUUGAAGACAAGCAACCCAUUAGGUCACAAGAAGCCAAAUUUCAAAGAUAAAGUACAGUUACACGUUUUCAUACAUAUAUCUAGUUUUGUAUAGUAUCCCUGCUAUUUUGUAUAUAUAUAUAGCAGAAAUGAUGUAUAAAUAGUAUCCCACUAUAUUAGGAUUAUUUUGUCCAUACUAUAUUAUGGUUUUGUAUAAACAGUUUAAAGAUGCUCUGAUUACAAUCACUUCCUGUAGACGGACAAGCUUAUCCGUGUAUUUUGAGUUGAUAAGGAGUAUGUCUUAUAAUGUUAUAGAAAUUUCCAAGCAGGAAUCAAUAGAGCAGCGAAGUAUAAUUUGUUGACU